CCACUGACUGGAAUUGUUAUAUAUAUGUGUAGAGCAGUAAAAAGAUUUGGAAGUCUAGUGGCUCUCUUAUUCAGGGCGGGGAAUUUCUAGAUACAAUUACUCCAAAAAAUGAGAUUUUUUUUCUCAUAUCUAUAAGUACUUUUUUAUAGAUAUUUCAUCAGUUGUCAUAAUAUUUUUUGAUGCAUAUAACUAAAUAUUUGGUCUGUUUUUGGUUUUAGCCUAAGGUCAACCCUCAAUAUUUAAGUCAUCUUUUCAGUGUUUUUGGCCAUAUUGGAGGAAAUGAAUGUUGAUGAAACAAGUAUAUACUAGAUUUAUGGAUAGUAAAUGUGAGAAUGGGAAGAAUAAGUGCAAGUCAGUUUCAACUCGUGUGGCCAUAUUGAGUUUUGCAUUUCAAUUGAUCAAAAAAAAUCCAGACUUAUAUUAAAACCAGUAAAAGACCAAAAAUUUAAUUUAUUUGUGUCAAGAAAUAUUAUAUAUAAAAAACACAUGGAUAUGAAAAAGUCUCAUUUUAUGCAUCAUUGUGUUCAGAAAGACCUUGCUUUGAAUGAGAGAGCUGGUGGAUUUCCAAAUCUUUUUAUUGCUCUACACACACAUAUUCCAUCAAUGGCGUUCGGGAAUGGGAACUUUUCCAAAUUAAUAUUGAUCAAAUGUAAUCUAAAAUCAAACAUAUUUCAAGAUAAAUUCAACAGUAGAUAGUGUUGUAUUAUCUGUAGAAUAUAAUGAGGCAGAGGACUUGAAUUUCAACAUUUUGAGGGAGUGCAGAACAAAAAGCGGGAAAUAUUUU
rnacentral:lncRNA from 1 species